ACGAACGCUGGCGGCGUGCUUAACACAUGCAAGUCGAACGCUGAAGCUCAGCUUUUGUUGGGUGGAUGAGUGGCGAACGGGUGAGUAACACGUGAGUAACCUGCCCCCUUCUUUGGGAUAACGCCCGGAAACGGGUGCUAAUACUGGAUAUUCACUGGUCUUCGCAUGGGGGUUGGUGGAAAGGGUUUUUCUGGUGGGGGAUGGGCUCGCGGCCUAUCAGCUUGUUGGUGGGGUGAUGGCCUACCAAGGCUUUGACGGGUAGCCGGCCUGAGAGGGUGACCGGUCACAUUGGGACUGAGAUACGGCCCAGACUCCAACGGGAGGCAGCAGUGGGGAAUAUUGCACAAUGGGCGCAAGCCUGAUGCAGCGACGCCGCGUGAGGGAUGGAGGCCUUCGGGUUGUGAACCUCUUUCGCUCAUGGUCAAGCCGCAACAAUGGUUGUGGUGAGGGUAGUGGGUAAAGAAGCGCCGGCUAACUACGUG
rnacentral:rRNA from 1 species